rnacentral:rRNA from 1 species
UGAGGAAUAUUGGUCAAUGGGCGAGAGCCUGAACCAGCCAAGUAGCGUGCAGGAUGACGGCCCUAUGGGUUGUAAACUGCUUUUAUGUGGGGAUAAAGUGCGUGACGUGUCAUGCAUUGCAGGUACCACAUGAAUAAGGACCGGCUAAUUCCGUGCCAGCAGCCGCGGUAAUACGGAAGGUCCGGGCGUUAUCCGGAUUUAUUGGGUUUAAAGGGAGCGUAGGCUGUCUAUUAAGCGUGUUGUGAAAUAUACCGGCUCAACCGGUGGCUUGCAGCGCGAACUGGUCGACUUGAGUAUGCAGGAAGUAGGCGGAAUUCAUGGUGUAGCGGUGAAAUGCUUAGAUAUCAUGACGAACUCCGAUUGCGCAGGCAGCUUACGGGAGCGCAACUGACGCUAAAGCUCGAAGGUGCGGGUAUCGAACAGG